UGAGGCUAUCACCUGUGACCUUCAGACGGAAAUUCAUGCUAUUACAUGUUUUCUUUUGCUGAAACUGGAAUUAUUGCCUAUAUAGUUUAGUUCAGUUAAAAUGUAUACGGGAUCCACAAUUCCACAUCUCUGCGCCGCCCCCUGCCCCUCCUCCUCCUCUCUCUUCUCUCUCUCCUCUCUCACAUAUCCUACAUCUGGAUAUUUUAAAUAAAAUAUUGUGAUUUAAAGUAUAGUAAGAUGUUAUUCAAGACCUUGAUAGUUCACAAAAAGCAUCUACAAGAAUCCUUCUGUUUCUGAAUGAAGUAACUUAAUAUUUUCUGGUCUAAACUUUUACUUGGUGGUAUUCUCUAUUUGUUACUUUGGCUGCAUAUUCUUACAGAUUUUUAUACAGGUAAGCAGUGGAGACAGAG
rnacentral:misc_RNA from 1 species